GGGGGUGUAGCUCAGCGUUUCAGAGCAGCCGGUUCUUACCCGGCAGGUCGUGGGCGAAAAUCCCACCGCCCCCACCA
rnacentral:tRNA from 1 species